UUGAUUAUCCCUCCAAAAACCCACUAUUUCCCUUUGUUUCAUUAUGAUUUUUGUACAAAAAAAGAAACUCGAAAGAGAAAUAACUCAUAGUAUUCCUUGUUUUUCAUCUCCUUUUUGGCUGAGGAAGAUAACAAUUCCUAACUUUGGCGACUUUCUUCCUUCAGCUCUGUCAUUAGAAUCUUUUUGUUCACUCUUCCUCAUUUUCUCACAAAGCUUUAGGGUUUAUGAUCUUUUCCCCCUCAUCAUCCAAAUCCUUAAACUUUUAAGAACUUUGUUAUUGAAGAAAAGAACAAUUGGAUUCAGAUAUACAAUGUUUAUUUUUCUGCAUUGUGGUUUUUUUGUUUUUGUUUUAUGUCUAUAUGUUUUCUAUUCACUUGGUUUUUCUUUUUUGUGGUUUUUCUGUGGUAUUUACACCUUUUUGUUCAAAUAUGACAAAUCAUGUAUAAUAUGUUUUUGAUUGUGAGUGCUUCUUUAUUUUUUGCCGAGGUGGAUUUUUGGUUUUGUAAAGAGAAGGUUGAAGUUAUUUUUAUUGGUUGGUUAGCUGCUCUCUUUGUAAGUUUUUUUUUCUAUUGAUCUCUUAUUGCCUCAUGAUGUGCAUAUAUAUAUAUUUCUUGUUUACAAUAGAUGAAACCAUAUUUAUUGUUUACAGUGUCCCCACUUUCGUAUUUGGGAUUUUAUCGUCUAGAUGAAUGGUAGAAAAUGGCUUUUGGGCAAUGUUUUUGUGAUGUAAACCAUCCUUCGAUAGAAGAAAUUUGGUUUAAGCUGCAACUUAUUGUACUUCUUUUUCUUGGCAUAUUGAUUCAGUUCGACCCUUUUAACAGUACAUUUAAGAUAUUAUAAUUUAAGUAUAGUCUGCAAAAGGUGAAAUCGAUAGGAGUUGAUUGAGUCGCAAUAAUAGUCUCAAUUGGAAUUGCAUUAGCUGAAGUUUUGACUACAGCUGGUGCAUAUAAUAAAAGAUCGCCAAAUACUCGCCGCUCCUUGGUCAGCCCUUGGUAGCUUAGCUCUGUUUUUAUAAGUAAUACAUUGCUCUCAAACCAUGUCAAAGUGUAAUAAUAUUUUGUUUCAUAAUAGAUGAUAUCUAAGGCUUCAAAGCAUCAAUCUAGAUAGAAGGAUAACAUGUUUAUAAACUUACAAGUACUAGGAGCUGAAUAUGUUUUUUUUGUAUCUUUACUGCUUUGUUCAAUACAUAUAUACUAGUCAUAGAUUCGUGCAAUGCAUAGAGCAACAUUGAAUAAUUAGCUUUUUCUACAUCUGUGCAGGGUAAAAGUUCCAUAUCCAUUUCAACGGGGACGUCCUUCUUUCAAUACCGGUGAUGCUUUUUCAAUGUUGCUUCUCUUGGUGCAAUUGUAGAGGUUUACUUUAAUCUUUUCUUUUUUAAAUGUAUACUAACUGGUGUUGCGAUGGUUCUUAUAUAUUUUAUUAUUCUUGGAUAUAAUCAUCACAAGAGCUAGUUCUAGCAAUAUUUUGUAUAUGACAAUAUGUGCCAUGAUCAGUAUGGUAUUAUGGACUAAACAUCUUACUUAGCAAAAGUUCUCUGUGAAUUGUGAACUACCAUGUUCUUUUUUAUAUUUUGUUAUUGUAAUUUGACAAUUUCUUUUUAUUUGGGUAUAUUUUGAUAUGUGUUUUACUCUUUUCAAUCUUUGAGGAUAGUCAACUAGGAUGUUCAUUGCAGCAUUAAGAUUUGGCAGUGCAACACUUGUUCCACCUUCAGCACUUAAAAGCUGGCUGGUACUAUGUCAUUCUUUCACAGUACAUGUAUAAGUGCAUUUAUUUCAUGAAAAUUAGAAUCAUGUGUUGAAGUUUGAUGAUUUCAGGAUAUUGGGACUCUUUUAGAUCACUACAACAUUUUGGUGCUACGACAACGCCUAAUUUUUUUACUGUAAAAAAACUGUUCUCGUAGAGUCUAAUAGAGAACUGUUUUUAAAUUUCAUUGCAGUAGUACAAUUAAUUUUAUAAUUUCUACUGUAACAAUUUAAAACCGUUCUAACUAUUUAUUUGUAUAUUUAUACAACAUUUAAUAAAAGUUCUUGUUUAGGUUUUAAUAAAUCCGUUGUGGAAGUCAAAGUAAAUAUUUCUGUACCGCUCAAACACUUUCAGCAAAAUCCCUCUCUCUCUCUCUCUCUGAAACUUGUUCCUGUGUGAACACUAUCUCGCACUCGCAAGCUCUGUUCCUGUUUACUCCCUCGCAAACUCUGUUCCUCUUCUCUCUCGCGUAAUCCUCUCUUCUCUCUCUCUCGCGCGCAAAACAGUAACCCUCUCUUCUCUUUCUCGCUUGACUGUUCUUGUUUCUGAAUGAAAAAGGGGAAAAACAAGUGUUGGUGAUGGAAGCUUGUGAAUGAACAUCAAUUAAGGUUUUUCUCAUGACUUGUAAGACUUAUCCCCUUUUCUCGCAACUCUACAGCAUCGGUUACGGUUCGCUCAACCUCUGCAUCGAUUAGGGUUUUCUCGCAACUCUGCAGAAUCGAUUACGGGUUGCUCAACCUUUGCGAGAUUUGCAAAACUUCUACCUCUUCGUGACUUGGUGAUUUUCGGUAUGUAUUUUCAUCCUUGCUCUGUUAUUGCUCAAUCUCUGCGAGGAUUUCUGGUUUCUGGUUACGAUUACGAUUUCUGAAAUGAUUUCUGACUAUGAUUUCUGAUUUCUUAUUCACAUAUAUGACGUGGUGUUCUCACAAAUUUAUUUUAUUUUAUUUUUUCUUUAUGGAUUUUGAUUAUAUUUUUUUCCUUUGUAAGCACGUGUGUGUUGACAAUAAAGUUCAAAAAAUUUCAGUGGAUUAGUGUAGUUCUGAUGAUAGAUUAGUUAUGAUUUUGUUGAGAUGGGUGCUUUUAUACAGGUGAUAUGCCAAGUAUGAUUGGUCUUCCUUCAGAUCAUGCACUUGUUGAGGAUGAUGAAUGCUUAAGGUUUUUUUUCUCUUAACAAGCAUUUGUGUUAAUAUAAUAUUGGUUCCACUGCAUUUAUUUUUUGUGAAGCAGGCAAGCACAAAGAUCACAAAUCGAAAUCGAAAAAGUGGUGAAUCCUUUAAAUAAUAUUUAGAUUAAAUUACUAAAUUCUAGAAAAUAACAGAUAAUGCAGACAGUCUAUCAAUUGAAAACAAUAUUUAGGAUAACUACUAUGCAUAUAUUGGUGAUAGGUAAGUUUAGUUUAUUAGAUUCGUCUGACACUAAACACUAAAAUUAGUGAUUCAUUACUUCUUGUCUUUGGAGUAUCAGUUUAGACAUAGUACUGUACUACUAUAUAUACUGAAAUUUGAUCCUGACCUGAGCCAAACAGUGAUCGAGCCAGAAAUUUGUGUCAGGGGGUCAAACAUACACUAUAGGAAAAGAAAAUUAUUGCAUGACUUUUUCUUGUUAUUAGAAUCAUAUUAAGUAAAUAUAUUAAAAGAGUAUACAAGAACUAUGUCUAAUUUCAUGGGGUAAAGCAUGUGUAUGUUUCUGCUAAUAUCUUUUUACCUUAAUGUGCAUUACUUACGAGGACUUAAUUUAAUGAACAGAUGGAUUAAAAAUUACGCAGACAAUGAGAAUAUGUUCUUUGAAGGUUUUAGAAAUGCGUAUUUCAAGCUAGUGAAAUCUGGUGUGAGAGGGAAUAGCUUAUAAAUCAGGAGUUGGAAGUUCCAACUUAAACUGAAGCAACAUCUUGUUUGUUAUUUUGGGAGUUGUAUUAAAAUUUUGAAUUAACUAAGUGUAUACAUGCAUGUUCAUUAAAUUUGUGUGACUAAGUUUUUAAAUUUGAAGUGUAAGUGCUAGAAAUAUGUAAUUAAAAAUUAGGAUAACAAAUAUUGAUCGAACUUGGACCACAAAUCACAACUAUUCAUAUUUGUAAAUUAGGAUAACAAAUAUUGAUCGAACUUGAAAGAAAUAAUUUAAGGGUUAAGGACGUAGUAUUGGUAAAUGGGGUGUCCUGCUGCACUUGGGAGAAAUGGAAAAUUAUGAGUGAUGAGACAAACCGGAUAAUUAAGAAUGGGAGCCAGCUAUCAUCAAGUCCUUCUGAAACCGUCAAUCAUAUUCGACCAACUCUAUUGAUUAUCCUGGAGGAUUUAAUUAUGUCUCUUAAAAGCAUGGCUGCGCCAAAUGUAUGCUUUCUAAUUGUGAAGCUGGAAUAUUUAUAUGAUAAUAGAAAAUUUUAACUACCUCUUCACAGUUUUUUCUAUUUCCCUUUAUUAAUUUUCAUAUUUCAUGACAGGAAAAAAUGACGAAUGAGAUCCACAUUAAGCUACUGACCGAGUGUGCAAUUUUUUUGAUGCUAUGAAUCUAAUAUUCCAAAUAACCAUGGUGUCACCAUUUUGGCGUUCAUGUACCUAUAGAUUGACAGUCAUUCAAAGAAUGUUUUUGAGGAUCUUAUAUCUGCGAUUGUUCCUUGUUGGUUGUCGAAGACAGAUGAUGUGGAGAAAUUACUGAAGGUUUGUUUUUCAUUAAAAUGCUUUUGGGUUUUCACGUCUUGUUGACAAGAUUGGAAGUAACUCUUGGCAGAUCAAUUUUCUGAUAUGUUUUUUUUCUUUCCUCAGGUUUUCAUAGAUGUAUUUCUUGAAGUAGUUGACAACUGAAGGCUGUCAAUUGUUUUAUAUCUCCUACGGUACUUUCUACAUUAUGAUCCCAAAAUUGGAACUUACCCAUUGGUUUGUGAUCGGCAUCUUAUAACGGUGGAUGUUUUGCAGAACUUGGGCGAGGGUAACAGCUUGGCCUCAUUGCUUGUCUUGUUGUUCUCAUCAUUAGUUUCAAGGAGAGCCUGUUGUUUCCUCAAUAUUGAUGAUGCUUGAGUAGAGGGGAAAUUGAAAUGGUGAACAGGUGCUGUUUCUGGAGUUGGUGAGGUACAAAUAUACUCUAAUAUUAAUGCUGAAGCAGUGUUGGGCAUUAUGAACUGAAAUAUUCAUUGUAUUUGUAUAUUUGUGUGUGUGUAAUGUGUAAAUAUAUUGUUUGAUUUUCUUUGUAAUUUUCAUUCUGAGAUGCUUUUUUUUUUCAUUCUUAGCGUGAUAUCGCCAGUCUUGUAUGCUUUUAUUUGAUUGAAUGUUCUAUUCUGAGUGGUCUGUAAACUCUUCUCUUUAUUCUAACAAAAAUUUCAUGUUCUUAUUCAAAAUAUGUGAUGGUGCUUCAUCCUAAAUAUCUAUCAGUAAUGGACGCCAAUGUAGAAUCUCGAGCUCGUGGAUUACGAAAGCUUCUUGCGGAAAAAAUUCUGGUAAGCUCAUGGUUACACCUUACUUUAUUUGAAUCAGUACUGUUAGAAAUAGUUGACUAUUAGAAAUAAUUGAAGUCUACUUUGCAUUUAAAUUGAUUCAUCUGGAAAUGGUUAUGUAUUACUCUCAAAGACAUGUGUCCUGGUUUGACUUUAUAAUCACAUUUAUAGACUUUAACAUUUUGUCAUUUAUUCUUGAUCAAUUUCAACAUUUGGAAGCACAAGAUGAAUAGAUAGAUGUCGAUACUUAAGUUUUGUUUGUUUGGUUGUUUUUUUUUUUUAUAGACAAGGAUUUUUAUUUUUGUUAUUUUGUUUGUCUCCUUUUCUCUAGAAUAUAAGUUAGAGAAAUUGAAUUAGUACGUACGACGUAUGAAUGAUCAUGAGUUACAACUUUUUUUAACUUAAAUUAGUGAAAUGCGUAUAUCGCAAUUGUUAUAUUUUAAAUUCAUUAUAGUAUAUUAUAACAAUUUUUUAUUAUCGCAACUGUUAUAUUUUUAAAUUUAUUAUUAUAUUACAAUAAUGAUGUUUUACUAAAAUUAUUUUUCUAAAAGACAAUAAUUUACGAUAUUAUUUUUUUUAAAUAUUUUACUUUCUGCAACGGUUAUAAAGCGUUGCGGUACCUUAAUUUAAAAAAAUGCCUACCAGAACGGUUUUAACUUGGCGACAACGUAAAACUGUUGUCGUUGUAAAUUUGAAAAACCGUUCUGUAAGAGAUAGCUGGAAGGAGAUAGGUUUAUAUUUUUAGUAAAACAGUCCAAUUCACCAAUAAAUUUAAAAUUAUAACAAACUUUUUUAAUUUUUGUGAUUUAGUCAACAAAAUUGUAUUUAUAGGGAGGUAGGUAGUAUUUUUUAGGUUUAAUUAUUUUUCAGAUCACUAAACUAUUUGAGAAUUUUUAAAGGGUUUAAUAACCAUGCAAUGCACCAUCAAUUUAUAUUUUCUCUUUUAUUUACCUGUCUCCUCCCUCGAUAUACUCUCACUUAAGAAAAAUGUAAUUAGGAUUUUUUUUUAGCAAAAAAAUGUUUAAUUAAGAUAACUGAGACAUGUUUUGUAAUUAGGUCAAAACUAAUUACCAAAAAUAUACUGUAUAAGUUUAAAAACUUGAUUACAAUUUACAGGAUAGUUAAACCUAUAUUUUAUUUUGAUUCUCCAUCCAAAAACUCACUAUUUCUCUAUGUUUCAUUAGGAUUUUUGCACAAAAAAAGAAACUCGAAAGAGGAACAGCUCAUAACAUUCCUUGUUUUUCAUCUCCUCUUCGGCCGAGGAAGAUAACAAUUCCUAUCUUUGGCGACUUUCUUCCUUCAGCUCUGUCAUUAGAAUCUUUUUGUUCACUCUUUCUCAUUUUCUCACAGAGCUUUAGGGUUUAUGAUCUUUUCCCCCACUUCAUCCAAAUCCUUUAACUUUGAAGAAACUUUGUUAUUGAAGAAAAGAACAAUUGGAUUCAGAUAUGCAAUGUUUUUUUUUCUGCAUUGUGGUUUUUUUUUUGUCUUAUGUGUUUUCUAUUCACUUGGUUUUUCUUUUUUGUAGUUUUUCUGUAGUAUUUACACCUUUUUGUUCAAAU
rnacentral:lncRNA from 1 species